AUUAAUCAGGCAGCUAAGAGAACAGCUUCAUUGGGUCCUGAAAUCUUUAAGCUGCACAUGCGCAUCCUGAAAUUUCUCUUUCUCGGUGGACGCCAUGGCGGACGCAGAAAAAAAGGUGCCCUCGGUCCCCGAGAGCCUUUUGAAAAGGCGAAAGGCCUACGCCGCCAGCAAGGCCUUUCGCAUAAAACGGCUGCUGGCAGUUAAAAAGGCCCGUAAAGCAGAACGAAAGGUCAUCUACAAAAGGGCUGAGCAGUACCACAAGGAGUACAGGCAGAUGUACAGGCGUGAGAUCCGCUUUUCACGAACUGCCCGCAGUGUGGGAAACUAUUAUGUGCCAGCUGAGCCCAAAUUGGCAUUUGUCAUCAGGAUCAGAGGUAUCAAUGGCGUCAGCCCAAAGGUCCGCAAAGUUCUGCAGUUGAUGCGUCUCCGUCAGAUCUUCAACGGGGUGUUCGUCAAGCUUAACAAGGCUUCAAUUAACAUGCUCAGGAUUGCAGAACCUUACAUUGCAUGGGGAUAUCCCAACCUGAAGUCUGUGCGUGAGCUCAUCUACAAACGUGGCCAUGGCAAGAUCAGGAAACAGCGUAUUGCCCUUACAGACAACGUUUUGGUGAAGAACAACCUUGGUAAAUAUGGCAUCAUCUGCGUAGAGGACCUUAUCCAUGAGAUUUACACCGUUGGCAAGAACUUCAAGUCUGCCAACAACUUCCUGUGGCCCUUCAAGCUGUCGUCACCUCGUGGUGGCAUGAACAAGAAGACCACCCACUUUGUGGAAGGAGGUGAUGCUGGCAACAGGGAGGAUCAAAUCAACAGAAUGAUCAGGAGGAUGAACUAGUCCAGCAAGAAGACAAGUGUCCUCCCUCCACUAGGAGGCAACCUACACCACCAAGAGAAUAUGCAGCUCUUUGGCUUCUCCAAGAUGCUUUCAGACGGCCCUGGUUGGAGGCCCUUCACGUUGAGCUACUCUGAGGGGUACAAACCCAAAGUGAAUCAUGCUGCCUGUUUCCCAUCUACGUUAGUCCUUCAAGGCUUGAGCACUUUUCCAGUGCAGAACUGCAAGUACAGCAGGGCCAAAGUGAAUGAUCCAGGCUAUGACCUCCCCACAGUUCAAGACAAUGUGACGAGUCAGUCAUACGCAGACCCCGUGAUGGGAGCCUCCUGCUCCUUUCUCCAUCGGAUAUCUGAGUUGUCCUGCUUGGAGGGUGAGACGGUGAGGCAGGAAAAGCUCAAGAGAACCAGCAUGUCCAGAAAAGCCUCGUCAUCUUGACAAUCACUGCUACCCCAGUCAAAGUGGUCCAGAGGGGAAACAGACUUUGAGUCGAUGCCGAGGACGGGCGAAGGACAUCAAACCUUGAGGGCAACCUGUUCGUUUAAGUGGCUCCUUUUUUCUACUCUUUUGUCUUCAUUGGUGCUCAUUUUCUGCCUGACAUGGUUAGCUGUUUUACUCUGUCAUUAAUUAACCUUUCAGCGUGUCAAAAUCAAUAUAUAAAGUAUUGUAUAGAGAGAGUAUUGAAGAUUGAUUUUACAAACUUGAUGCAUGUUCUCCCCGGGCCUGCGUGGGUUUUCUCCGGGUGCGCCGGUUUCCUCCCACAUUCCAAAAACAUGCAUAGAAGGCUGAUUGAACACUCUAAAUUGUCCCUAGGUGUGAGUGUGAGUGUGGAUGGUUGUUCGUCUCUGUGUGCCCUGUGAUUGGCUGGCAACCAAUUCAGGGUGCCCCCCGCCUGCUGCCCGAAGACAGCUGGGAUAGGCUCCAGCAAACCCCCCCCCCCCCCCCCCCCCGCCACCCGGGUGAGGAUCAAGCGGCUCGGAAGAUGAAUGAAUGAAUGAUGGAACAAACUUGCAUUUUGAUAAUUGCAAUGUGUGUUUGUCUCAUCUCUACGCAUGUCUUAUACUUUCUCCCUUUCAUAAUGUUGCUGCUGUAAAUUGGGAAUUUCUCCAUUGUGAGACAAAUAAAAGUUUUCUUAUCUUACCAGUCACAA